UACGUAGGGGGCAAGCGUUGUCCGGAUUUAUUGGGCGUAAAGAGCGUGUAGGCGGCCAGGUAGGUCUGCUGUGAAAACUCGAGGCUCAACCUCGAGAUGUCGGCGGAAACCAUCUGGCUAGAGUCCGGAAGAGGAGAAUGGAAUUCCCGGUGUAGCGGUGGAAUGCGCAGAUAUCAGGAAGAACACCAACGGCGAAGGCAGCUCGCUGGGACGGUACUGACGCUGAGACGCGAAAGCGUGGGGAGCGAACAGG
rnacentral:rRNA from 1 species